GUUUUCUAAGCAGAGCCAUGCAUUUAUUAGUCGAAAUGUGCAUUUCAUAAAAGCAGUAGUGUUGUGUGCCUUAAAUAUCGCUGAUUUUCCGUAUGUUAUGAAGAUUUUAACGUCACAGAUCAAAUACUCCUUUAAAUAAACCACAACCUUCAAGUCAACAAUGAGCAAAACGCAGCUGCCUGUUCCUUGGGCUGAACUCAAGAAAAGCCUAUCAGUAAACCAGCAGACCAUGUCUUCAUUUCUUCCCACAGAUCAAAAACAGCCUGACUCGAGUCCUCCCUUAGCUUCAGUAAAACUUAGUCAUUUCACACGCAAAGGCUUUUCAUUGGGAUUACGGCUGGCCAAGGCAGCUCUUGGCCAAGCCCACCGCAAUGCCAAGGAAAAACACUUGACAUGAUUGAGUAAGCAGAAACCAGCCAGAACAUUCCCGCAGCUCUGACCGCCUGGAUAAAGACUUAUCUCCUUCACCAUCUUGUCCAGAGGGAUGUGCCUUGUAAAAAGGAUUUGACUAUAUCAGUUAAAGUGCGGAUAAGAUCAUAUGAGCUUCCUGCAAGGGACUGAUGUGGGGAAUAAAACAGGAUAUCUACAAUCAAAUUCCCGAGGGAAGAGACGGGGAGCACAGAAGUCUUGACCCCACGAGAGGACGACGCUUGAUGAACGACCGCGGAAGGUCAGACCUCUGAUUGGUAUUCAGCCUCCUCCGUCUGAGAGUGCUGAACCAAAACACCCAUGUCUGUCCCCCAGAGUGCAAAUUACAAUGCUGACUUUGAUAGAUACUCAGUGUUGGCGGAUUCUGAACUUUCCCUGAGAGGGUAUAACGAGAGUGCAGUCUAAAGUGGGCGGAGGGACGCCCCAGGUAAUCUGUCACCCACUGCGCCUCUGACAGACUCGGAGUUGGGUGGACGAUGCUGAUGGAUGAAUAACCUUUGGGCGUUUUUACUGGAAUUAACGAUGAGGUGUGAAGUAACUAAAGACGGCGUACGGAAUCCUCGACUAUACCAUCAUCCCUCUUUCUUCCUCUUCGGACUCCACUAACUUACAGUGGGGUCACAGACAGUUCUCAGCAGCAGAGAGUGGAGCAGUUUGACCUUUAAAGGGUGUCUCAAGACAUUGGCCAGAGAGCUUCCUGUGACUGAAGAGCGCAAGAAUACGGGGGGGAAAAGGGGCAUCAUUUUCACUGCCUGUACCCUUGGAUAUUAGUAAUUUCACAUUUAAUAAUAGAGGGACAAUUAUGAUCAGAAGAGUAAUCCGCCUUCCAGGGUAUCAAGGUGCUGGUUGGCCCCAGGCGUUCCUUGAGAUUUUUUUUUGUGUGUGUGUGUGUGUG